GAGUUUGAUCAUGGCUCAGGAUGAACGCUGGCGGCGUGCCUAAUACAUGCAAGUCGAGCGAACGGACGAGAAGCUUGCUUCUCUGAUGUUAGCGGCGGACGGGUGAGUAACACGUGGAUAACCUACCUAUAAGACUGGGAUAACUUCGGGAAACCGGAGCUAAUACCGGAUAAUAUUUUGAACCGCAUGGUUCAAAAGUGAAAGACGGUCUUGCUGUCACUUAUAGAUGGAUCCGCGCUGCAUUAGCUAGUUGGUAAGGUAACGGCUUACCAAGGCAACGAUGCAUAGCCGACCUGAGAGGGUGAUCGGCCACACUGGAACUGAGACACGGUCCAGACUCCUACGGGAGGCAGCAGUAGGGAAUCUUCCGCAAUGGGCGAAAGCCUGACGGAGCAACGCCGCGUGAGUGAUGAAGGUCUUCGGAUCGUAAAACUCUGUUAUUAGGGAAGAACAUAUGUGUAAGUAACUGUGCACAUCUUGACGGUACCUAAUCAG
rnacentral:rRNA from 1 species